rnacentral:rRNA from 1 species
GACGAACGCUGGCGGCGUGCUUAACACAUGCAAGUCGAACGGAAAGGCCCUGCUUUUGUGGGGUGCUCGAGUGGCGAACGGGUGCGUAACACGUGAGUAACCUGCCCUUGACUUUGGGAUAACUUCAGGAAACUGGGGCUAAUACCGGAUAGGAGCUCCUGCUGCAUGGUGGGGGUUGGUAAGUUUCGGCGGUUGGGGAUGGACUCGCGGCUUAUCAGCUUGUUGGUGGGGUAGUGGCUUACCAAGGCUUUGACGGGUAGCCGGCCUGAGAGGGUGACCGGCCACAUUGGGACUGAGAUACGGCCCAGACUCCUACGGGAGGCAGCAGGGGGGAAUAUUGCACAAUGGGCGGAAGCCUGAUGCAGCAACGCCGCGUGCGGGAUGACGGCCUUCGGGUUGUAAACCGCUUUCGCCUGUGACGAAGCGUGAGUGACGGUAAUGGGUAAAGAAGCACCGGCUAACUACGUG